rfam:Roseovarius tolerans strain EL-164 ROTO_contig000105, whole genome shotgun sequence.
GACGUCUUGUGCGGGAAAUAGUUGAUGAAAACGAACCCCCUCGCCUGAUCGAUAUUGUGAAACAGCGGGUUCCAGGAAAACAUGUUGUACAUGAAGGGCGGCAGAGUGUUGACCACGAACAUCUUGCCCGAGGCGAUCAUGUUGGCGCGCUG